ACGGGGGGGGCGAGCGUUGUUCGGAAUCACUGGGCGUAAAGGGCGCGUAGGCGGCCCGCACAAGUCUGCGGUGAAAACCCCCGGCUUAACCGGGGGCCGGCCGUGGAAACUGUCGGGCUGGAGGCCGGGAGAGGGCAGCGGAAUUCCCGGUGUAGCGGUGAAAUGCGUAGAGAUCGGGAGGAACACCGGCGGCGAAGGCGGCUGCCUGGACCGGCCCUGACGCUGAGACGCGAAAGCUAGGGGAGCAAACAGGA
rnacentral:rRNA from 1 species